GACGAACGCUGGCGGCGUGCCUAACACAUGCAAGUCGAACGAGGUCCAAGGGAGCUUGCUCCCUGACGACCUAGUGGCGAACGGGUGAGUAACACGUGAGAAACCUGCCUCGGAGUGGGGAAUAACUCGGGGAAACUCGAGCUAAUACCGCAUACCUUCACAUGAUCGCAUGGUCGAGUGAAGAAAGAAUUUCGCUCUGAGAGGGUCUCGCGGCCUAUCAGCUUGUUGGUGGGGUAACGGCCUACCAAGGCAACGACGGGUAGCUGGUUUGAGAGAACGAUCAGCCACACUGGGACUGAGACACGGCCCAGACUCCUACGGGAGGCAGCAGUGGGGAAUCUUGCGCAAUGGGCGAAAGCCUGACGCAGCAACGCCGCGUGCGGGAUGACGGCCUUCGUGGUUGUAAACCGCUUUCAGCAGGGACGAAAAUGACGGUACCUGCAGAAGAAGCCCCGGCUAACUACGUGCCAGCAGCCGCCGUAACAC
rnacentral:rRNA from 1 species